rnacentral:rRNA from 1 species
AGAGUUUGAUCCUGGCUCAGGACGAACGCUGGCGGCGUGCUUAACACAUGCAAGUCGAACGGGAGUUACAAUGAAACUUAGUGAAUUGUAACUUUAGUGGCGGACGGGCGAGUAACGCGUGGAUAACCUGCCUAUAUGACCGGGAUAACGCCGGGAAACUGGCGCUAAUACGGGAUACGCUUGUAUGGACACAAGUUUGUACAAGGAAUGGAGCAAUCCGCAUAUAGAUGGGUCCGCGUCCCAUUAGCUAGUUGGAGGUGUAAGAGACCCCCAAGGCGACGAUGGGUAGCCGGCCUGAGAGGGUGGACAGCCACACUGGAACUGAGACACGGUCCAGACUCCUACGGGAGGCAGCAGUGGGGAAUAUUCCGCAAUGGGCGCAAGCCUGACGGAGCAACGCCGCGUGAAUGAGGAAGGCCUUCGGGUUGUAAAAUUCUGUCUUCAGGGAAGAAGAAAGUGACGGUACCUGAGGAGGAAGCCCCGGCUAACUACGUGCCAGCAGCCGCGGUAAAACGUAGGGGGCGAGCGUUGUCCGGAAUUACUGGGCGUAAAGGGCGCGUAGGCGGUGAGGUAAGUCUCGAGGUGAAAACUUUCGGCUCAACCGGAAGCGUGCCUGAGAAACUGCCUGACUUGAGUGCAGGAGAGGGGAGUGGAAUUCCCAGUGUAGCGGUGAAAUGCGUAGAUAUUGGGAGGAACACCAGUGGCGAAGGCGGCUCUCUGGCCUGUAACUGACGCUGAGGCGCGAAAGCGUGGGGAGCGAACGGGAUUAGAUACCCCGGUAGUCCACGCCGUAAACGAUGGGUGCUAGGUGUAGGAGGUAUCGACCCCUUCUGUGC